rnacentral:misc_RNA from 1 species
GAAAUGCGAUAAGUAAUGUGAAUUGCAGAAUUCAGUGAAUCAUCGAAUCUUUGAACGCACCUUGCGCUCCUUGGUAUUCCUUGGAGCAUGCCUGUUUGAGUAUCAUGAAAUCUUCAAAGUAAAUCUUUUGUUAACUCAAUUGGUUUCUACUUUGGUAUUGGAGGUCUUUGCAGCUUCACACCUGCUCCUCUUUGUUCAUUAGCUGGAUCUCAGUGUUAUGCUUGGUUCCACUCGGCGUGAUAAGUUAUCUAUCGCUGAGGACACUGUAAAAGGUGGCCAAGGUAAAUGCAGAUGAACCGCUUCUAAUAGUCCAUUGACUUGGACAAUACUUUUAUUAUCUGAUCUCAAAUCAGUUAGGACUACCCGCUGAACUUAAGC